rnacentral:pre_miRNA from 13 species
UAUUAUGCCACAACACUGUGUCACUAUGUGAUGUGUUGUGAUGGCACAGCCUCAUCACAUAGUAAUGCAACAUCAUGACAUAAAU